CAGAAAGUAGUUUAAUUAAAAUAAUAAUUUUGGAGAUUAUUGAUAAAGGUUUUUACUUUUUUUCUGA
rnacentral:tRNA from 1 species